rnacentral:rRNA from 1 species
UCCGUAGGUGAACCUGCGGAAGGAUCAUUACCGAGUGCGGGUCCUCACGAGCCCAACCUCCCACCCGUGUUUACCGUUACCGCGUUGCCUCGGCGGGCCCACUGGGGCCUGGCCCCGGUCGCCGGGGGGCUUCUGCCCCCGGGCCCGCGCCCGCCGACGCACCCUAGAACCCUGCCUGAAUAGUGAGUCUGAGUGAGAUUUGAAAUCAUUAAAACUUUCAACAACGGAUCUCUUGGUUCCGGCAUCGAUGAAGAACGCAGCGAAAUGCGAUAAGUAAUGUGAAUUGCAGAAUUCCGUGAAUCAUCGAAUCUUUGAACGCACAUUGCGCCCCCUGGCAUUCCGGGGGGCAUGCCUGUCCGAGCGUCAUUUCUGCCCUCCAGCACGGCUGGGUGUUGGGCGCUGUCCCCCCGGGGACACGCCCCAAAAGCAGUGGCGGCGCCGCGUCGGGUCCUCGAGCGUAUGGGGCUUUGUCACCCGCUCGGGAGGGACUCGGUCGGCGCUGGUCUUCCCUUUAGGCCGCCCUUCGGGGUGCGCCUCUUCCGGCUGACCUCGGAUCAGGUAGGGCUACCCGCUGAACUUAAGCAUAUCAAUAAGCGGAGGAA